rnacentral:rRNA from 1 species
UAGUCUCGCACAGAUGCAUAUCAAUAAGCGGAGGAAAAGAAACUAACAAGGAUUCCCCUAGUAACGGCGAGUGAAGCGGGAAGAGCUCAAAUUUGAAAUCUUAAAGGGUUUCCCUUUACGAAUCGUAGUUUAAAGAAGUGUUUUCUGUUGAGGUUUUGGUAAAAGUUCUUUGGAAUAGGACAUCAUAGAGGGUGAGAAUCCCGUAUUUGACCAUUAUUUUCAGCUGUGUGAUACACUUUCAAAGAGUCGGAUUGUUUGGGAAUGCAGUCCAAAAUGGGUGGUAAAUUUCAUCUAAAGCUAAAUAUUGGCGAGAGACCGAUAGCGAACAAGUACCGUGAGGGAAAGAUGAAAAGAACUUUGAAAAGAGAGUUAAACAGUACGUGAAAUUGUCAAAAGGGAAGCGUUUGACACCAGUGUUGUUUUCUCGAAAAUCAAUUAAAAAGAGUUUGAUUUUGUUGUGUAUUGACCUUAACAGCUUGCAUUUCAAUUUUCUUGCUUUUUUUAAUGCACUUUUCGUUUAACAAGUCAACAUCAGUUUCUUUUGUUGUAAAAAGGUCAUUGGAAGGUGGCUUUCUUUUCGGAGAAAGUGUUUAUAGCCUUUGACUCCUGCAAUCGGAGAGACUGAGGUCUGCAGCGUAGAUCCUUCGGGGUUAGAUACAUUUGUGCUAAGUUAUAGCUUUUUAUAGACAACUUGUUGACUAUGAUUAGUCUUGUAGCUUACUCGCUUAUGCUAUUUUACCUACGCUUAGGAUGUUGAGCGCAUGUCUCUCUCU